GGACCUCUUGUCAAUGCCCCUGGACUCGUCCAGGCUCACGGAUACAAAGCGGUUGGCGGCGACCAGCCUGCGGAUUUCGUCCUUGAGCACCGCAUCCAGGGCCUCGGCAAGCUGCCAGGCACUGUUGCAGCUCCAGUGCUUAUCACGGUAGUGUGGCACGUCCAGCACCUGGAACAGGUCCUUAGAGCCGACAUAGUCGAGGAUGGGGCGCCCGUGAUCCAGCAUGAAGAAGAGCUGCCGCAGCUGCUGCACAACUCCCCUCUCGGACUUGCUGAGUGCUCUGGACAAAAGGUUGUCGACCGUCCGCGCUGUCAGCUGGUGCCGCUCGUGCUGAAGGGCCCGCGCUUCGUGGCUGCACAUGGCUUCUUAGUGUUUUUUGGAGAGCUCGUGGCUUUUUAGCGUGGCCUGCCUGGCAUCCAUCGUGACGUCCCGCCGCCGGCUGAGGGAGCAGGGACCGCACCGACGCAUUCCCUCGUUCUCCCGCCAGCUCCCAUCGCUUUGGCCUUUCAGCACACGCUGUGUUUGCUGGCGCCGCGCCUGCUUUUGAAUCACCAGCGGCGCGUGCUGCGAAGCACCCGCCCUUGAAGGUGGCGGUGGUGCCGUGGCGACAUCUUGGGGUGGUGGCCCUUCCUCGUCAGAAUCAAGCUGGUCAGCAUCUGAGUCGCUGAUUGNNNNNNNNNNNNNNNNNNNNNNNNNNNNNNNNNNNNNNNNNNNNNNNNNNUAGGGUGGGGUGGGGGGAUGUGCAUGUGAGGGAUGGUAUGAACGUUCAAGUAACGUAAGAAUGGGAGGAAGGUGAAGGGGAGGGGGAAGGGAGGGGGCAUGAGGAACAUGUGCUCAUUGACGACGGCGGGCGGGGGGAGGGCGGGCUCUCGUAACGAUACGAAAGGUGAGGGGAAAAGAUCGGAAAGGAAACACAUAUGGGGAAGGGAGUUACAUGCGAUAUUAGGAAAACAAAAAAGAGAAAGGGGGGCCGUGCAGGUGUAUGUGCGUAUGUUUGUAUGUGCGCUGAGGGGAAGCCCACGGGUCCCGUCGUACCUCCUCACUGCCGUACUGCCUGCCGCACGUGUCGCACUCCCAGUAUGCAGAGGGCCCCCCGCUGACGUCACCACCCGCGUCAUCAGCACCGCCGCCGCCGCCGCCGCCGCCGCUAGGACCGGCCUGCAUGCCGCCAGCACCUAUGACGCAAUCGCCAGCUGCGUCUGUCCAGUACACAAACCCGCCGCCCCCGCCACCUCUCCCGCCGCCACCGCCACCGCCGCCGUCGUCGUUGUUGUUGUCGUGGGUAGCGGCGCCGGUGGUGGCGGCGGUUGCAGCUGUCCAUGGUGCCAUCACGUUGCCAUCCACCGCCUUGUCGCCGCUCAUGGUGGUGGCGGCGACACCCUCCCCGCCUCCGCCUCCGCCACCGCCUCCAUCGCUCCCUCCAUUGUAACGCUCUUGGCGGUUGUGGUGGUCGUGGUUUUGGGGGUUAUGGCAGUUGGGGCAGGGCAACGACCGGUACGGGUCCCGGCGGCGGUUGCAUCUGCUACAACAGCAACUGAAGAGCUUUGUUCGUACCUGCGGGGGGGGUCCUUGUGCGAAUGGGUUGAAGGGGGCCGGGCGGGGAUAUGUGUUUCGUGGCCGGGCGGCGGAGCGGGAUUGCAGCGUGGGGUGCGCGAGGAGCAGGGCGAGAGCAGCCCCUGCAUGUGUGUGAUAUAGACAUACAAACAGAUAGGUAGACGGGGCGACAGAGACAGGCAGACUGACAGAUUGACAAACAGGAAGACAGGUAACCACAAAGACAGACAGGCCGACAGUCAGCCAGGCAUACAUACAGACAUACAUAGACAUACACACAGACAGAGGAACUGGAGCCUCUCCACCGCACCAGUAGCUUCUGACGCAUGCGAGUGGACAGCAGCGUCUGCUCGUCCCAGCCCUGUAAUAUUCCACCGUACGACAUGUGUACGGCGUUCGGUGUACGGCAGUGAUGGUGUACGGAGAUGGUGAGCAUGUUGAGGCCGUGUCGGAAUAGCGCAGCAAGGCCCGCCACGUCGCAGCCCCCGGACAGGCGCCACGGAGGGUGCGGAGGGUGGGAGGCGGACGGGGAGGAAGGAAGGAAGGGACGGUGUCUUUGUCAGCAGCGGCUAUGACCUCCCCCAGUACUGAAGAUCAAACGCCUCCCCGGGUUGUAGCGGUGCGCCUUUUACCAUGCGGCGGCGGACGCGGUCUCGCGCUGCAGAAGUUUCCUAAUCAAGCUCCCCCUUUACAUUGCGCUUUUCAGAGUGCGAAUAUCCUCUGACGUGUACGAGCCCUCUGUGAUGGCGGUGGGGUGGUGGGGUGGUCCGCCACGCCCUCCUUCCCCCCCUCCCGCCCUCCCAGUCCCAGUCCCAGUCCCAGUCCCAGUUCCUCUCCUACUCUCCUCGUAGCAGCCCUCUCUCCCUCCCUCCCUUCUCAUGUCCCAUAUCAUUCCGACUCUUCUUUCCAUUUCAUCCCGUGCACACAAAAGCGCGCAGCACCCCACCAGGUAGCACGUGGUGAUGACCUCCCCUGGAGAGAUCGGUCGGAUCGCCACGAAAACACCACAGCCAUCAUUGCCAUUGGUGCCCUCCCCACUAUCAAGGAGGAAACGAUAUCUGGGGAGCGGGGAAGGACAGGACCACCCCGCGCGUGUACGACGGCAAUAUACAAAGAUACGGCGUAGCACGACAAAGCAUGGAGCAAUAUCUCAGGUAGCGUGGCGUUGCCUUGGUAUCCAUCGGAAUGUCGAAGAUUAGCUAAAGGCAAACUUGAUUUUUUUAUAUCUAUGAGCUUACGAGUUAAUGCCGGUAACUUGAAGAUUUUAAUGUUUUUUUUCGAAGAUUGAUGACUUGAGGACAAGAAUGCAAGUGCUAUGAGGGAGAAAGUAUUCUCUGUUCAGCUAAUGUGUGUCAUGAAAGAAACAGGCAAUCAAAGUGACUUAGUUGUUCCAAUCAAAACCGAUGUGAAACGUCGGAGAUGCCAAUAACAUCAAUCCGAAUUACGUAUCUCCUGUGGUGAAAGGUCGUCUUGCACCGCAGCGCCGCCACGGUCACCCGUCCCGUAAGUCUCUUAUCAACAACUAGACUCCCUCCGGCUUCUUCCCUCCCUUCUUAUUAAGCAUCUCUGCUCCGAAACAUCCGACAUGCACUGACCGCGUAUUACCCUCACAGCAGUGAUUGACAAGGCUGCCGACUUUGUACAGGGCACCGCCUCCGUCACGCGUAGAGUAGCAGUUGCAAACCCAUGCCAGCACUACCCGGAUGACUUCAUCAGAGCUGGGGCAAGCUGCAAUGGGUCCCAGCACGCUGCUGGAAAAUGCUUCACAAUUUCUCGCGGCGUCAAGCUGUUCGGCGUACUGCCGAGCGGCCCGGACGUAUGGCUCAUCCUUGAAUACGUUAGCGUCAGGAGUAUAAAGCUCCCAAACAGAUUUUUUCACUUCCAGAUCUGCAGCGCAAUAUUGCAGCAUCUGAAGUGUGAAGUCAAUUGACGCAUCUUUACCAAGCAGGUCCGCGCGGAUGCCCAGAUCCUUGUGAGCCGCAAAAAUCUCAUCAAGAAGCUCGGAACUUUCGACCGUCGCCAGCAGUGGUUGCUCGCGUACAACAACAUCGCCAGCAGCAAAAGUGCGAUCAGCCACUAACGCAUUGCCGUAAGGUUCCACAUAGCGCUUUAUCAGUCCGUCUAUCACCAUCCUAAAAUAAUUAUCGCAAAGGACAAAACUGUCUAGAGUUGAUCUUUCCAGGGUAUACGGGUGCACAGUUCGGAGUUUCCCAAAACAGCAUCGCGAAGUUACGUACUUUUUGUAACUGUAGAUAGAAUAUGACCACACCGCGUAUGACGGUUAUGGCCGUGACGACCGACGAUACGAUCGACUGUCAACCGCUGACCAUGACGUGCAAAGCUGCGGUAAGGCGGGCGUACAGGCGGGUGAUGCGAAGCUCCUCGUUUAGUGCCGCACUUCAUAUGUGUUUGGAACGCUGAAUGUCUGCAUUUGCCAUUCUUUCACAUAUGUUGCCCAACUUCAUCCUCGCGGCAAUUUUGCGGCAGAGCUCUCCCUACGAAGCCGCUAAGUGCCGCUACGGUCUAUGGGUUUUAUCACGUAACAGCGCGAUCUCCUCGGUCCCCUCACACAGCUCCAGCUGGACCACCUCCUAGCUACAAAACACGUGCAAGCUUAGGUUUUAACGGGUUUUUAGCGGUAUGCACCAGAUAAUCGUUCCGUAAUAUCCGCCACAAAGAAUUCAAAGAUGGAAGGAUGCAAUGUAAAAUUGCACUCAAACUCUAUCUUUGCUUUGGCGUCGCUUGUCUGCUAUUUGUAUUGUUCACUGCGUUCUUCAACUCGACGCGCCCAAAGCGGACAACGCCGGUACAAUCACAGGUAAUGCAGAACUUGACGUAGGAGCUGAGCCGUGCCCAGUGUUUUUUUUUCGUUUUGGGCCUAGUACCCUAUGGUAAUGAAAUGGGUGUUUCUUGCGGUUACAAUUCCUAUUUGUAUAGUCGCUGGGGGGGGCUGUGCCCCCCCCAGACCCCCCCUCAAAGGCCGUACGGUGUGCUGUAAACAACACCUGACGUCUGGAAACACACAUGUCGUACCACCAUCGUUCUGUGCACCUAACUGCAUUGGCGCCAGUGUCUCUGUGAGCAGGGCGCGGAGCCACUUUGACUGUCCAUAAACGUCGUGAGCACGCGAAGGCAAAGUUAUAUAUAUGUAUGUAUAGUCUUCCAUUAGAUAACUAUCUCACAUGGUACGUACAAAUAUGUACCCUUAUGUACACUGUCGGCACCAUCAACACCACUGCAUUGCACCAGCCGCCGACCAGUUGCUGGCUAGGCCUCUGCACCACAUCAGAAGCUAGUCGUUCAUGCGGUACCGCCCCUUGAUCACGGCCUCACGCCACUUCUUCACCGCCACGUCGAAGGGGAACGUGCGCAGGUCGUACAGCUCCUGCGUGAACAUCCUGACGCAGAGCGCCAGGUGCUCGUCCAGGCGGUUGCGGACGUUGCUCUGCACGAAGUUCAUGGCCGAAAACCGCCGCUCGUCCUCCACCGACCCCGGCACCAUCACGAACACGAGCUUGGCCAAAGCCACGUACUCCUUUAGGCUCUCCGCAUGGACAGGGGCGUUCUCCAGCUGCUUCCAAAGCUGGAUGGUGGGGCUCUCCUCCUGCUCCUCACGUAGCUUUCGCUGCACAACCUUGCUGCCAGCAGCCGCCCGCUCCGCCGCAAGCUGCUCACGCAGCUUGGCGGUCUGCCCCCGAAUCCGGGCCAGUCGCUGCUUGGUUGCCAAGGCCCGCAUGAGCUGCUCGAACUGUGUGGCCUUGGCAUCCAAUGCCGCGAUGUUGAGCUUUGGCGGCACUUUACUCCCGUCGUCCAGCUCGCACUCCUUGCCGUAGUGGGUCUUGAUCACCUUCAGCUUUGACCGGAAGUCUGCCGCUGUCGGCCUGGCCUCCCAGUACUCGCUGUAGAGGAUUUGGAAGGCGUCCAGCAGGGCCGUGGGGGGGAAGCGGGCCUCCAGCUCGCCGGCCAGCACCUGCACUGCGGCAGUAAGCUCCGCCUGGACUGCUGCAGCAGUGGACGUGAUGAGCUCCGCCGUUAGGCUGACCAUGCACCCGCCUCUGCCCCGCCGCUGCUGCAUCGCGUGGAAGGCAAUGAAGCGGUCGCCAAACACCAGGCCGACGCUCUCGUCCUCAGGGCUGAGCUCCCACUGAGUGCCGUCUAGGCUGUCACCCGCAGGGCCCGUGGGGAGUAGCUGGGUGUAGUCCACAAAAUCCGCACCCUGAUAGCACGUGGCGCUGUCCAGGUACAUCCGGCGGAGGUCAGCCUUCAGGCGCUCCAGCUCGAUGUUUAGGUGGCCGAUGAACAGGUGCCGGCUCUGGCAGAGCUUGAUGAAGAAGUUGGUGCGCCGCAGCGCGGGUAGUAGGGCGUGCAUGGCCAGGUACAGGCGGGCGUCCGUCAUCUGGGUGAAGAUGAACUGCUCUUCCGCCUCCUCCAUGUACAGCAGCAGGGCGCCGUACUCGCUCACGACACGCUGCAGCGGCAGCAGCAGGCUCAGCCACCUGCGGGGGCGGCAGAAACAAACAGUAAGGUGGUGUUAAUAGUAUAAAGCAAACGGCGUUUGGCAGGUUCUAAAGCAAAGGCGGCCUCCAGUGCUCCUAGCAUAUAAAGCUGAGAAUCUAACCAUAAAAGAGCCUUUGCCCCGCACACUGGCUAACUGAUUAUGGAUAAAAGCUCGUCAUCCUGAAGCUUGCAGCCCUCAUGUUUACCCGCCAUAUAUCCUCGGCUUAGCGUUAUUACCUGAUCUCUACGUCCCUUAGGGGGUGAUUUCCAGCGGUAUCAGCCUCCUCUGCAGCGGCCUCGAAGGCCAAGAGCCGCUUGGGGCUGUUCGAGAAGUGACUGUAGAUGACCCGGACCAGUGCCUUUAGGGUGCUGAUGACUGCCGCCUGCUCCUGGGCACCGGCUGCCAGCUGCGUCCGGUGAGCCAUGCAGUGGAUGGUAACGAUGUGCGGAGCAAGGUCCGUCAUCUGAGUCGAGACCCCGUUGUGCACUCCCGUCAUGACGCUUGCCCCGUCAGUGCUCACGGCGACCAGCUUCUGCGCAAGCUCGUUGGCCGUCAGCCCAGCUCUGUCCGCCAGCACCUCCAGCAGCAAGCUGGUGAUGUUGUCCGCUGUCGGUGCCGCCUCCAGUUUUGCCAGCUGUAGGACACGAAAAGAGAGACAAACAGAGACUUUAAUGGGGUCUAUCCACGGCCAAAAAAAACGGUUGAAGGAGGAAGCCGUCUAGACUGAGGAAAUGUGGACAAAAGAGUAACGGUUAAAAGAGCUGGGCUCCCAGCAAUUCACCCCGGCAUUACGUUAAUUUUAAACCUUCCCAUCAUCCCGGCCUCACAUCAAUGCACAGCGGGAUCCGGCUCCAGCCCUCCAUGACAUAGACGUGAACGCAGAGCCGGGACCUCUUGUCAAUGCCCCUGGACUCGUCCAGGCUCACGGAUACAAAGCGGUUGGCGGCGACCAGCCUGCGGAUUUCGUCCUUGAGCACCGCAUCCAGGGCCUCGGCAAGCUGCCAGGCACUGUUGCAGCUCCAGUGCUUAUCACGGUAGUGUGGCACGUCCAGCACCUGGAACAGGUCCUUAGAGCCGACAUAGUCGAGGAUGGGGCGCCCGUGAUCCAGCAUGAAGAAGAGCUGCCGCAGCUGCUGCACAACUCCCCUCUCGGACUUGCUGAGUGCUCUGGACAAAAGGUUGUCGACCGUCCGCGCUGUCAGCUGGUGCCGCUCGUGCUGAAGGGCCCGCGCUUCGUGGCUGCACAUGGCUUCUUAGUGUUUUUUGGAGAGCUCGUGGCUUUUUAGCGUGGCCUGCCUGGCAUCCAUCGUGACGUCCCG
rnacentral:lncRNA from 1 species